AGGGUUCGAUUAUGGCUCAGGAUGAACGCUAGCUACAGGCUUAACACAUGCAAGUCGAGGGGCAUCAGGAAGAAAGCUUGCUUUCUUUGCUGGCGACCGGCGCACGGGUGAGUAACACGUAUCCAACCUGCCGAUGACUCGGGGAUAGCCUUUCGAAAGAAAGAUUAAUACCUGAUGGUAUCUUAAGCACACAUGUAAUUAAGAUUAAAGAUUUAUCGGUGUACGAUGGGGAUGCGUUCCAUUAGGUAGUAGGCGGGGUAACGGCCCACCUAGCCUACGAUGGAUAGGGGUUCUGAGAGGAAGGUCCCCCACAUUGGAACUGAGACACGGUCCAA
rnacentral:rRNA from 1 species